ACCUGGGUGGCUCAGUCGGUAAAGCACCUGACUUCAGCUCAGGUCAUGAUCUCACAGCUUGUGAGUUCGAGCCCCGCGUCGGGCU
rfam:Felis catus isolate Cinnamon breed Abyssinian chromosome D2, whole genome shotgun sequence.